rnacentral:rRNA from 1 species
CCUACGGGAGGCAGCAGGGGGGAAUUUUCCGCAAUGGGCGAAAGCCUGACGGAGCAAUACCGCGUGAGGGAAGAAUGCCUACGGGUUGUAAACCUCUUUUAUCAGGGAGGAACAAAAUGACGUGUACCUGAUGAAUAAGCAUCGGCUAACUCUGUGCCAGCAGCCGCGGUAAGACAGAGGAUGCAAGUGUUAUCCGGAAUUACUGGGCGUAAAGCGUCUGUAGGUUGUUGAACAAGUCAACUGUUAAAUCUUGAAGCUCAACUUCAAAAUCGCAGUCGAAACUGUUUGACUAGAGUAUAGUAGAGGUAAAGGGAAUUUCCAGUGGAGCGGUGAAAUGCGUAGAUAUUGGAAAGAACACCGAUGGCGAAAGCACUUUACUGGGCUAUUACUGACACUCAGAGACGACAGCUAGGGUAGCAAAUGGGAUUAGAUACCCCAGUAGUCCUAGCCGUAAACUAUGGAUACUAGAUGUUGAACAGAUCGACCUGUGCAGUAUUAAAGCUAACGCGUUAAGUAUCCCGCCUGGGAAGUAUGCUCGCAAGAGAGAACGACAAGAAGUAGUACGGCGNGAGACGUGCCGACGGACGACCGACCGAGGGAGGUUAGG